CCAGAGUAUGCCAGAUCCGCCACAAAUACAGGAAUUCCACUGUUCACACGAACAGAGUCUCCCCUGUAUUUGCACGGCGUCGCACAAGUACAACAGUACAAACAGAAUACAACCACCUAAAUGAAUAUAGAAAUAAUUAUUCAUUCAUACAUUCAUACAUUCACCAUUCAUAUCACAGAUUUGUAUUUAAUAUUUAAACAUAAAUCCACAGAAAAUUCUUUUGAAAACUGUUUCCUACACGGAAACCUUUAUUCUUUAAAAACGCUACCACGAGGGGUAGAAAACCUUUCCAUUUCACAAAAUCCACAAAUCCAUUUA
rnacentral:lncRNA from 1 species